CAUGAUGGCUGAAUUGGGCUUCCUUAUAGCAUCAGGGAAGUUGGAAUGCUUACAUGGUGGCUAAAGGCUUGAAGAGUGAGUGUCCCUGUUAACAAGGCAGAAGCUGCAUUACCUUUUCUGCACUAGCCUCAGAAAUCAAUCAGCACCACUUUUACCAUAUUAUCUUGAGUACAAGAAAGUCACAAGCCUGCCCAGAUUAUAGGGGGGAGGGUUAAAUUCCACCUCUUGAUGGGGAAGUGGCAAGGUUCCAGGAGAGCAUGUGGGAUGGGAGAUAUUGUUGGGGCUACCUUUGAAAAACACAAUCUGCCACACACACCAGUUAAAAGGCAGAGACUGUUGGGCUAGAUAAAAUAGCUAUAUGUUAUUUACAAGAAGCACAUUUGAAGCAUAAAGACACAGACAUGUUGAGAGUAGAAGUAUGGAAAAAGAUAUACCAAGCAACCACUGAGCAUAAGAAAGCUGCCAUGGCAUCAUACUAAUAUCAGGUAGAGCAGAAUUCAAGACAAAGAGUUUACUAGAGAUCAAGAGAGACAUGUCAUAAUGAAAAAAGAACACAUAAUCAAGAAAACACAACCAUUUCAAAUAUAUAAGCACCUAAUCUACCAAAUAUAUGAAACAAAAUUUAUAGGACUAAAGGGUUCUAGAUACAGAUAAAUCUCCAAACAUACUGGCCAACUUUAACAUUCCUUUCUCAGUAAAUGAUAAAACAAAUAGGAAAAAAAUCAGAAGAAUAUAGAUUUGAACAACACUAUCAACCUAAU
rnacentral:lncRNA from 1 species